CUGAGUAGUCUACAGGUCCUAGCCGACACAACGUCUCUGAUAUUCUCAGAGACCUAAAAGGACAUGGAUAUGAAGCCUCUGAUGAUUCUCCUCCUGCUAGCAGCUGUCACCACCAC